rnacentral:rRNA from 1 species
GACGAACGCUGGCGGCGUGCUUAACACAUGCAAGUCGAACGGAAAGGCCCUGCUUUUGUGGGGUGCUCGAGUGGCGAACGGGUGAGUAACACGUGAGUAACCUGCCCUUGACUUUGGGAUAACUUCAGGAAACUGGGGCUAAUACCGGAUAGGAGCUCCUGCUGCAUGGUGGGGGUUGGAAAGUUUCGGCGGUUGGGGAUGGACUCGCGGCUUAUCAGCUUGUUGGUGGGGUAGUGGCGUACCAAGGCCUUGACGGGUAGCCGGCCUGAGAGGGUGACCGGCCACAUUGGGACUGAGAUACGGCCCAGACUCCUACGGGAGGCAGCAGUGGGGAAUAUUGCACAAUGGGCGGAAGCCUGAUGCAGCAACGCCGCGUGCGGGAUGACGGCCUUCGGGUUGUAAACCGCUUUCGCCUGUGACGAAGCGUGAGUGACGGUAAUGGGUAAAGAAGCACCGGCUAACUACGUG